GCUCUGCCAGCGCACAAACAACGCAACGUAAUUUAUUUCAAUUUUUUUUUUUGUAAAAAUGUUUAUUUAAACCUUUUUUUUUUUUCCUUUUACAACAAUAAAAUAUUGCGUCAAUAUAAACCCCUUGACUAAAACUGGUCGACAACCAAACGUUACAGCGAUUCGUGUGUUUCGUUAUUAUUUUUUCCGACACCCAUUUAGGCUUUUUUUUUUUCUUUCUGAAACGUUUUUUUUUCUUUUUUUUUUUAAACAUAAUGCGGAAUUUAUUGAAAAUAAAUAAUUGUUGGCAACUGCAAUAGGCAAUUUUGGAUAAAAUAGUUGAAAAAAGCAACCUUUAAUGAAAAUAGCGUUUAUUAUACAUCAGUUACUAAAUGAAUAAACUAAAUGAUCUUUCUUUAAAUUAAUAACUUCCAAAAAACGUUUAAUAUACAAAACUGUACAGUUAUAAAGUUGGCAGAAAUAGGCAGGUCCUCAGUGUUGAGUUUAAUUUUUUUUUUUUUUUUUUUUUUAGUUACUGAAAAAUACUUGAAAAAUAUAAAUGUCGAAAGGAAAACAUCUGAACGCCGGGGAGGGAGAGGGGCUGUGCGGGGAACCGCAGCGCGGGGUGCAGCCGCAGGAGCCGGGCCGGGGCGGGGGGGGUCCCCGGGUGCGGGGGGGGGAUCUCGGCCCGGCCCGGUCCGGUCCUGCCCGACAGCCCCGAGGAUGCGGGUGCAGCGGGUGAACUUGGCCGCGCACACACACACAGAGGCAGCGACUCCUCUUCGUGAGCGGCUGCGUGGGUGUUGCACCCCCCCCCCCCCCCCGUCCUUGUGUACAACACAUCCACGGACGGGCGGAGGGAGGGGGUGCGGGGGGGUUACAGCUCAGCACUGCCCUGUGCCGAAAAAAUGGUUAUGGUCGUAGCAUUUUGGUGAAUUUUUCUUUGUUUUGUUUUUCUCCCUGUUCGUUUUGUUUUUAUGUUGUUGUUGUUUUGUGGUUUUUUUUUUACUAUAUAAAAGCUUUCCAACAAAUCCAGCAUCUCCCUGUGACGCGGAAAUAAGCUCAGCGUGAACCAAAUGCGGGCGUUUUCUGUCCCCCCCCCUCUCCCCCGAAAUUCAUGAGACACCUCAUUCCUCUUCACUAUCGAAACAAAAUACAGAGAAACUGAUUUCCGAAGCCAAAGCGCAGAAGAA
rnacentral:lncRNA from 1 species